UACAGAGGGGGCAAGCGUUAUUCGGAAUUAUUGGGCGUAAAGGGCGCGUAGGCGGCUUGGCAAGUGGAUGGUGAAAUCCCUCGGCUUAACCGAGGAACUGCCGUCCAAACUGCUUCGCUUGAGACCGGGAGAGGUGAGUGGAAUUCCCAGUGUAGCGGUGAAAUGCGUAGAUAUUGGGAGGAACACCAGUGGCGAAGGCGGCUCACUGGACCGGUACUGACGCUGAUGCGCGAAAAGCGUGGGGAGCAAACAGG
rnacentral:rRNA from 1 species